UGGGGAAUUUUGGACAAUGGGCGCAAGCCUGAUCCAGCCAUGCCGCGUGCGGGAAGAAGGCCUUCGGGUUGUAAACCGCUUUUGUCAGGGAAGAAAUCUUCUGAGUUAAUACCUCGGGAGGAUGACGGUACCUGAAGAAUAAGCACCGGCUAACUACGUGCCAGCAGCCGCGGUAAUACGUAGGGUGCAAGCGUUAAUCGGAAUUACUGGGCGUAAAGCGUGCGCAGGCGGUUUUGUAAGACAGAGGUGAAAUCCCCGGGCUCAACCUGGGAACUGCCUUUGUGACUGCAAGGCUUGAGUGCGGCAGAGGGGGGAUGGAAUUCCGCGUGUAGCAGUGAAAUGCGUAGAUAUGCGGAGGAACACCGAUGGCGAAGGCAAUCCCCUGGGCCUGCACUGACGCUCAUGCACGAAAGCGUGGGGAGCAAACAGGAUUAGAUAGCCCUGGUAGUCCACGCCCUAAACGAUGUCAACUGGUUGUUGGGAAGGUUCCUUCUCAGUAACGUAGCUAACGCGUGAAGUUGACCGCCUGGGGAGUACGG
rnacentral:rRNA from 1 species